rnacentral:rRNA from 1 species
GUGAACGCUGGCGGCACGCUUAACACAUGCAAGUCGAGCGAUCGGCUUCGGGAAGCUUGCUUCCUGGAGUACGGAGCGGCGCACGGGUGAGUAACACGUGGGUAACCUGCCUCGAAGUCUGGGACAACCCCGGGAAACUGGGGCUAAUACCGGAUGUGCUCCUCGGACCGCAUGGUCUGGGGAGGAAACGGAUUUCCGCUUCGAGAGGGGCCCGCGGCCUAUCAGCUUGUUGGUGGGGUAAUGGCCUACCAAGGCAGUGACGGGUAGCCGGCCUGAGAGGGUGUACGGCCACAUCGGGACUGAGACACGGCCCGAACUCCUACGGGAGGCAGCAGUGGGGAAUCUUGCACAAUGGGCGAAAGCCUGAUGCAGCGAUGCCGCGUGAGGGAUGAAGGCCUUCGGGUUGUAAACCUCUUUCAGUAGGGAAGAAGCCGGGAGUCAUCCCGGUGACGGUACCUACAGAAGAAGCCCCGGCUAACUACGUGCCAGCAGCCGCGGUAAGACGUAGGGGGCUAGCGUUACCCGGAUUCACUGGGCGUAAAGCGCGUGUAGGCGGUCUGUUAAGUCGGAUGUGAAAGCUCCGGGCUCAACUCGGAAAUUGCAUCCGAUACUGGCAGACUUGAGGAUGGUAGAGGUCGGUGGAACGGCGAGUGUACCGGUGAAAUGGGCAGAUAUUCGCCAGAACACCAGUGGCGAAGGCGGCCGACUGGGCCAUUCCUGACGCUGAGACGCGAAAGCCAGGGGAGCGAACCGGAUUAGAUAUCCGGGUAGUCCUGGCCGUAAACGGUGCGAACUAGGUGUGGGGGGCGUCAAGCCUUCUGUGCCGAAGCUAACGCAUUAAGUUCGCCGCCUGGGGAGUACGGCCGCAAGGCUAAAACUCAAAGGAAUUGACGGGGGCCCGCACAAGCGGCGGAGCGCGUUGCUUAAUUCGAAGCAAAGCGAAGAACCUUACCCAGGCUUGACAUGCAGGUGGUAGGCGCCUGAAAGGGUUGCCCAAUGGUAACCAAGCCAUACCUGUGCAGGUGUUGCAUGGCUGUCGUCAGCUCGUGCCGUGAGGUGUUGGCUUAAGUGCCGCAACGAGCGCAACCCCCGUCACAUGUUGCCAUCGGAUAAUGCCGGGCACUCAUGUGAGACUGCCGGGGAAACCCCGGAGGAAGGAGGGGAUGACGUCAAGUCGGCAUGGCCCUUACGCCUGGGGCUGCAAACGCGCUACAAUGCGCGGUACAACGGGCUGCGAGACCGCAAGGUGGAGCGAAUCCCGAAAAACCGCGCUCAGUUCGGAUUGAGGUCUGCAACUCGACCUCAUGAAGUCGGAGUCGCUAGUAAUGGCAGAUCAGCAUGCUGCCGUGAAUGCGUUCCCGGGCCUUGUACACACCGCCCGUCACACCCCGAAAGUGGGCAACAGAUGAAGCCGGUGGCCUAACCGCAAGGAGGGAGCCGUCGAGUCUGGGGUUCGUGAUUGGGGUG